rnacentral:rRNA from 1 species
AUUGAACGCUGGCGGCAUGCCUUACACAUGCAAGUCGAACGGUAACAGGUCUUCGGAUGCUGACGAGUGGCGAACGGGCGAGUAAUACAUCGGAACGUGCCUAGUAGUGGGGGAUAACUACUCGAAAGAGUGGCUAAUACCGCAUGAGAUCUACGGAUGAAAGCAGGGGAUCGCAAGACCUUGUGCUACUAGAGCGGCCGAUGGCAGAUUAGGUAGUUGGUGGGAUAAAAGCUUACCAAGCCGACGAUCUGUAGCUGGUCUGAGAGGACGAUCACGCACACUGGGACUGGGAAACGGCCCAGACUCAUACGGGAGGCAGCAGUGGGGAAAUUUGGACCAUGGGCGCAAGCCUGAUCCAGCAAUGCCGCGUGCAGGAUGAAGGCCUUCGGGUUGUAAACUGCUUUUGUACGGAACGAAAAGCCCCGGGUUAAUACCCUGGGGUCAUGACGGUACCGUAAGAAUAAGCACCGGCUAACUACGUGCCAGCCGCCGCGGUAA